rnacentral:rRNA from 1 species
UACGUAGGGUCCGAGCGUUACUCGGAAUUACUGGGCGUAAAGCGUGCGUAGGUGGUGAGUUAAGUCUGUCGUGAAAGCCCCGGGCUCAACCUGGGAAUGGCGAUGGAUACUGGCUCGCUAGAGUGCGGUAGAGGAGAGUGGAAUUCCCGGUGUAGCAGUGAAAUGCGUAGAGAUCGGGAGGAACAUCAGUUGCGAAGGCGGCUCUCUGGACCAGCACUGACACUGAGGCACGAAAGCGUGGGGAGCAAACAGG